rnacentral:rRNA from 1 species
GACGAACGCUGGCGGCGUGCUUAACACAUGCAAGUCGAACGAUGAAGCCGGAGCUUGCUCCGGUGGAUUAGUGGCGAACGGGUGAGUAACACGUGAGCAAUCUGCCCUUGACUCUGGGAUAACUGCGGGAAACUGUAGCUAAUACCGGAUACGACACCUUGGGGCAUCCCAGGGUGUGGAAAGAAUUUCGGUCAAGGAUGAGCUCGCGGCCUAUCCGCUAGUUGAUGAGGUAAUGGCUCACCAAGGCGACGACGGGUAGCCGGCCUGAGAGGGUGACCGGCCACACUGGAACUGAGACCAGGUCCAGACUCCUACGGGAGGCAGCAGUGGGGACUAUUGCACAAUGGGCGAAAGCCUGAUGCAGCAACGCCGCGUGAGGGAUGAAGGCCUUCGGGUUGUAAACCUCUUUUAGCAGGAAAGAAGCGAAAGUGACGGUACCUGCAGAAAAAGCACCGGCUAACUACGUGCCAGCAGCCGCCGUAA